UACGGGGGUGGCGAGCGUUACUCGGAUUUAUUGGGUGUAAAGGGCAGGUAGGCGUCCCUGCAAGUUAGAAGUGAAAUCCUAAGGCUCAACCUUAGAACUGCUUCUAAAACUGCAGGGAUUGAGGCUGGGAGAGGAGAGCGGAAUUCCCGGUGUAAGGGUGAAAUCUGUAGAUAUCGGGAGGAACACCAGUGGCGAAAGCGGCUCUCUAGCCCGGAUCUGACGCUAAGCUGCGAAAGCUAGGGGAG
rnacentral:rRNA from 1 species